rnacentral:rRNA from 1 species
CUAAGAAUAUUCCGCAAUGGACGAAAGUCUGACGGAGCGACGCCGCGUGGAUGAUGAAGGCCGGAAGGUUGUAAAAUCCUUUUGUCGGGGAAGAAUAAGCGUGGGAGGGAAUGCCCGCGUGAUGACAUGAACCGGCGAAUAAGCCCCGGCUAACUACGUGCCAGCAGCCGCGGUAACACGUAGGGGGCGAGCGUUGUUCGGAAUUACUGGGCGUAAAGGGCAUGUAGGCGGUUUCGUAAGCCUGACGUGAAAGGCUAUGGCUCAACCAUGGCACUGCGUUGGGAACUGCGGGACUUGAAUCACGGAGGGGGAACUGGAAUUCCAGGUGUAGGGGUGAAAUCUGUAGCUAUCUGGAAGAACACCAGUGGCGAAGGCGAGUUCCUGGCCGAUGAUUGACGCUGAGGUGCGAAAGUGUGGGGAUCAAACAG